CGGAGCCCGGCACUCGUGACCUCGCCAGCUCUCAGCUCCCUCGGGCGAUUUCGUGCACGCUAAUGUGCGCCUCUGUGUUUUCCUAAAUGCUGGUUUCUUCAUCAAGCGGCGGAAUAACGCAUCAGGGCAGGUGACCCACGUCACCGGGGUGAUGCACUGGUGCUCGCCGGGGCGGGCGCUGUGCCUGCGGGAGCCGCGCGGCCGGCGCGGUGUCGGGGCGCCUCGUGGGGGCCGAGCCGCGCCCGCACGUCCCUCAGAACUCUCAGUGAGUGUCAGAUCAACACAUUCAUCCACCAUAUCCCGUGUGUAUAAGAACAAUCCAUCACUCCUGACCUAAUCCAGCACAGAACAGAACUUCUGGAAGAGGACUAAAGAAGAGAAAGAGUGGAAGUGUCACAUGCCCAGAGGAAAAUAGAUGCGACAGAGAUGAAUAAAACAAAACAAAACAAAAGGAAGAAAGCCAAGCUAAUCUGGGAGUUCCAUCACGGCUAAGAACGCAUCUUUGUUUUGUCACGCGGUUUCUAGCCCGGCUCAGACCUGGGCUGCGGCACCUCAGGCAUCUCCUUUCAUCUCUCGGCUUUUCUCCUGGCUCCCGGGCGCUUCUCGAGACUUUUUGGACCUGGACUGGUCCAUGGCAGAACACCUCUUUCCUGAGUCCUCCCUAUGCACCUGCCCAAAGCGGGGGAUUGGGGUGGCACUCUCCAAGAUGCCAGGCUCCUCAAAUGGAGCCAUCACCCCCUAGGCUGUACUUGGCAUUGUCUCCAAGGAGCCUGGGGAGGUAACCGGUUGGGGACUGAUUCACUUGGGAGGGAGGGAGCGAGUGCAGAUUGCAGAUGCUAUCUAGUCGGGCCAAGUCAACCUGGGGAAGGGCAGGUCUGUGUCUCAACUGGUUUAGGGGUGGGAGAGUGGGAUUGGAACUUUUACACCUUGCAUUCUUAGGACGUCACAAUGGUUUUCCCAAGGCCUCCUUAUCUGAGGGUGUUUACCUAUUCAACCAGCAUACGCAGGUUCAGGACUCCCACUUUGUCCGGGUUCUGUCCUCACAGGCACAGGAAGAUUAAUGCGAACAACAGGGUCUGACAAACCAAAACUCACAGAUAAGAGACUUGGGUUAUUAGGGCAGAUGCCAGAAGUCAUGGGAUCUUCACGGGGUGGCUGUAGGCUGAGCAAUCUCCCUCGGGAUGUGAGGGGGUGUAUUUCUGCGUUAUUGGUCAUUGAGAAAUUCCCUAAUCUUAGAGAGAAAAGGAAUGAAACCAAGGGCUUGAAUCGGAGUAUACGUAGUUGACCUAAUUAUAAGGUUGUCCAUCCAUCUGUUUAAUAAAUAGUUCCAUGAUGUGGGACGGCAAGGUCACUCAUAGCCCUGAACAUUAACAACGUUUUCCUAAGGUUCUGGAAAAAAAGUGGUAACCAUGUGUUCAGCUGCAGGCUUGUUCUGUCUCAGGCCUCAGGCUGACAUGAAUCAGAAAUAGAGGGAAAUGUGGAAGUGGCAUUGCAAAUAUUAGUUCUAAAAACGGACUGGGAAGAGAGAGUGCCUCUAGACCCAGUCAUGGCCUAGCCAAGCCCCAGAAGAAUGACAUCACCCAUUGUGCCUCGUGGGGAGCCCCUGAGGCUGUCAUGGAUUUGUAGUCCUAUGUGGGACAGCGCUGCUGACGCGGUUAUUUCCUGCACUAGACCUACCCUGUCAGCAAGACACUGUUUACAUGAGCUGAGUGCCAAGUUGCGGCACAUUAUGCACAAUCGCUUUUAAGUUCAAUUAAAUUAACGUUUAGAAACAUUGUAGAUAGAAAAAGCUAAAGAGCAUUUUAGCAAACAGUGAUUACCUAGAGAUGCAAGUGCUUUGAAUUUGAGCAUUAGAGAACUUGUGAAUUUGUAGGAGUUAAGCAGGACAAGUACCCAUCUAAUGAAUGUUCAUAAGGGAAGCGCGCGUGUAGGAGGCAUUUCAGGUAGCCCAGCGCAGACCAAGGAGGGAAGGAAACAGAUAAGAUGUCAGAAAACAUCUUCAAAUACCCAGAGUUGUUAUCCCCUCCACGAAACAUUGGAGGGCGAAUUGUUUGGGUCAGUAAAAUAGAAUCAUAAAGUGUGAAGAAGAAACCUGUGGAACAUUCUGGAAGAAUUGGUCAGAGAUGGGCCGGGCGUGGUGGCUCACACCUGUAAUCCCAGCACUUUGGGAGGCCGAGGUGGGUGGAUCACCUGAGGUCAGGAAUUCAAGACCAGACUAGCCAACAUGAUGAAACCCCGUCUCUACUAAAAAUACACAAAAUUAGCCGGGCGUUGUGGUGGGCGCCUGUAAUCCUAGCUACUCAGGAGGCGGAGGCAGGAGAAUUGCUUGAACCCGGGAGACAGAUUGCAGUGAGCUGAGAUUGCGCCACUGCAGUCCAGCCUGGGCAACAAGAGCGAAACUCCAUCUCAAAAAAAGAAAAAAAAAAAAAAAGAAUUGGUAAGAGAUGAAUACCCCAUCACAGCCUCUUUGAUUUCAGAGGUGAAAUAGUUGAACCCCAGACCUCACUGUCAGAUGUAAAGAGUCACUCCAAAUUUAUAAGCUCAUUAAACUAGUAUUUCUGACCGUUUACACAUUUGGCUGUAGAGAAAAUACACAGAAUGCUUCCAGCCACACCUAUGCCUACUCAAGCCACUUAGCUGACAAGCCACUUAGCUUUUUCUUCUAAUUACUCGGGUGCGCGUCUCUGUUAUUUACAAAGUUUGGUGAAGUCAGGGCAGGGGGAAUUUAUGGUUCGAUACCCUUUCUAGCACAGAGGGGUAAAAUUCAGCCUGUCUUUUGAAAUCAGUCUGAACUGUCAAACUCCCAGUUGAGGACUCCUCUCCCCAAAUCAGGAAUCUUUUUUGUUUUCUCUGGCUAUGGGCCACAGUCAGGGCUUUGGAGUUCAUUUGUAUGCCCUCCCCCAUCCCCAUUAGUGUUAUUGUGUAUAUUUGAGGUACUUAUUCUUCACUGACCAUAGGUGAAUAGGAGCUGGUUCACCUAAAAGCUCCCACUCCCCAUUCACUUUUUUUUUUUUUUUUUUUUUUUUGAGAUGGAGUCUUGCUCUGUUGCCCAGGCUGGAGUGCAGUGGUGAGAUCUUGGCUCAAUGCAACCUCUGCUUCCCAGGUUCAAGCGAUUCUCCUGUCUCAGCCUCCUGGGUAGCUGGAAUUACAUGUGCCCACCACCACACCCGACUAAGUUUUCGUAUUUUUAGCAGAGACGGGAUUUCAUCAUAUUGGUCAGGCUGGUGUCGAACUCCUGACGUCAGCUGAUCCACCUGCCUUGGCCUCCCAAAGUGCUGGGAUCGCAGGUGUGAGCCACCGCACCCAGCCCCCAUUCACUUUUGUUUUAGGAAAUGAGAAAGCUUCUGCCUUUUUUCUUUCCUUCCUUCCUUGGAUGUUAGUUAAGAUCAGUGAGGUAAUGGUGAUAAAGUACUUUGAAUUACCUCAAGGAGAGUGCAGCCCAACUUGUUAUUAUUUACCUAGGUCAGUUCACAAACCCCCACGAUCUAGGGUUCCUGUCUCCUGCCCUGGGGAUGGUGCCUGGGAGAAAGGAGAUGUCACAGACCCAGUCCCACAGGGCGCUGUUGGCUGGAGUUGGUCAUUCCUUACUUUGACAUCAACAGGCUUAUCUCUAGAAAUAGGCUAAAUGGUAGCUCAGGCGCCGGUGUUGCCUCAUCCCGCAAACUCCCAGGGAG
rnacentral:lncRNA from 1 species